rnacentral:rRNA from 1 species
GUAGGUGGCAAGCGUUGUCCGGAAUUAUUGGGCGUAAAGCGCGCGCAGGCGGUUCUUUAAGUCUGAUGUGAAAGCCCACGGCUCAACCGUGGAGGGUCAUUGGAGACUGGAGAACUUGAGUACAGAAGAGGAAAGCGGAAUUCCACGUGUAGCGGUGAAAUGCGUAGAGAUGUGGAGGAACACCAGUGGCGAAGGCGGCUUACUGGUCUGUAACUGACGCUGAGGCGCGAAAGCGUGGGGAGCAAACAGGAUUAGAUACCCUGGUAGUCCACGCCGUAAACGAUGAGUGCUAAGUGUUAGGGGGUUUCCGCCCCCCUUAGUGCUGCAGCUAACGCAUUAAGCACUCCGCCCUGGGAGUACGGCCGCAAGGCUG